rnacentral:rRNA from 1 species
CAUUACAGAGUUCUAAAAGACUCCCAAAACCAUUGUGAACGUACCCGUCAGCGUUGCCUCGGCGGGCGGCCCCUCCCUGGGGCCGCUGCCUCCCUCGGGGGGUGCCCGCCGGCGUACCAAAACUCUUUUGUAUUUUAGUGGCCUCUCUGAGAAAACAAGCAAAUAAGUUAAAACUUUCAACAACGGAUCUCUUGGUUCUGGCAUCGAUGAAGAACGCAGCGAAAUGCGAUAAGUAAUGUGAAUUGCAGAAUUCAGUGAAUCAUCGAAUCUUUGAACGCACAUUGCGCCCGCCAGUACUCUGGCGGGCAUGCCUGUUCGAGCGUCAUUUCAACCCUCAAGCCCUGCUUGGUGUUGGGGUCCUACGGCUGCCGUAGGCCCUGAAAGCUAGUGGCGGGCUCGCUAUAACUCCGAGCGUAGUAGUAAAAUAUCUCGCUAGGGAGGUGUCGCGGGUUCCGGCCGUGAAAGCCCAUCUUUUACACAAGGUUGACCUCGGAUCAGGUAGGAAUACCCGCUGAACUUAAGCAUAUCAAUAAGCGGAGGA